AAAAAAAAAAAAAAAAACUCUUCCAAAAAAGCACCGGUCUGCAGAUGUCUGCAAGAGAAUCAACAAACCCUCCUUCUUCUACGGCAGGGCAGGGGACGUAUUCACUGGGAGCUUUAGGAUAAUGCAUUUGUGGAGACUGGAACUGAAAAUGUUAAUACUAUUGUAAGGUUUUUUCCUCUGUGGACUGAGAAAGCAAGGCCCUUUCCAGGACACAAGAGAUUUGGACUGGACUUUUGUAAAAUAAGGUUACUACACAGUUCUAGGAGACAAAUACAUGGAUACAAAUCAAGCUGGUUUACAGUGUGGAUGUUCAGUUGUGUGUUUGGAAAACUGAAUAGACCGUCAUUGAGUGUCCUCAUCUAGCCCUGCUACGAAAAGCUACUUGAAAGCUCCUUGGGAAAAAUAUACCUUAUGCUGGUGCCAUGCCUUGUUUGGCUCAACUGGGGAAAAAAAAAAAAAAAAAAAAAAAAACAACUUGCUACCUUACUAAAGCUUCUUGAAAAUCAUGUGAAAUAGUGUUUCUCCACUUGACAUUUUUGGAAAACAAGAACAAAAACAGAACAUAAUGAUGGUCUUUUUCUCCCAGGACAUUUCUCAUGUACAAUCAAAUAAAAAAAAAAAAUAUUAAAUUAAACUUGGCUUA
rnacentral:lncRNA from 1 species